CCUUACUGAUUUGCUGUUCCCUUUGCUAAAAAGGUCAACCUCUGCCCCCAACUCCUCCCCCUUACCAACGACCAUUCUUCCUUGGUCAUUUUUGAGGAAGUAAAAGUCGUAACAAGGUUUCCGUAGGUGAACCUGCGGAAGGAUCAUUACUGAGCGAAAUGGGUGGCAAGGCUGUCGCUGGCUCAAACGAGCAUGUGCACGUCUUUUGCUGCUUGCUUCAUUCUCUUUUCCACCUGUGCACUCUUUGUAGACACUCGGGAUGGGAGAGAGGUUGGCAUUGAUGGUUAACCUCUCUUGAUAUUGAAAAGUCUGGGUGUUUAUGUAUUUUUUGACAUACACGGUUGAAUGUCUAUAGAAUGAAAUGUAGGCUUUUGUCAGCCUUUAAAUGAUAAAAUACAACUUUCAACAACGGAUCUCUUGGCUCUCGCAUCGAUGAAGAACGCAGCGAAAUGCGAUAAGUAAUGUGAAUUGCAGAAUUCAGUGAAUCAUCGAAUCUUUGAACGCAUCUUGCGCUCCUUGGUAUUCCGAGGAGCAUGCCUGUUUGAGUGUCAUUAAAUAUCUCAAAAAGUUUGUGCUUUUUUGGCAUAAGAUUUUUUGGACAUUGGGAGUUGCCGGCUGCUGAUAAAAGUGGUGGGCUCUUCUGAAAAGCAUUAGUUGAGGAGCUUUGCACUCUAUUGGUGUGAUAGACUAUCUAUGCCAGGAGAUGCUUCAUGAUCCUCUGCCAUCUAAAUGUCUUUAUUAGACAACAUGAUAAACAUGACCUCAAAUCAGGUAGGACUUCCGGGUGAACUUAAGCAUAUCAUAAAAGGCGGGAAGGAAAGGGGAAUUUGGAGGGUUGCCUGGUACGAGGUCUAGAGAGUGAAGGGUGGUCUAAGCGCCGCAAUAAGGGUGUGCUGACGACGAGCCUAGAUGGGGCGGAGCCGGGAGGCUACAAGUGUAGGGAAAAGGGUAAGCUAUGUGGGGGUAUAGGCUGGAAUAUGCUUCGAAGGACUCGAACGAGGGUAGGAUGCUGCGGUAAGGACGACUCCCAACGGCAGAGACUGUGUUUC
rnacentral:rRNA from 1 species